rnacentral:tRNA from 1 species
GCCCUUGUAGCUCAGCAGGUUAGAGCGCAUUCUUGGUAAGGAUGAGAUCAUCGGUUCAAUUCCGAUCUGGGGCU